GAUGAACGCUAGCUACAGGCUUAACACAUGCAAGUCGAGGGGAAACGACAUCGAAAGCUUGCUUUUGAUGGGCGUCGACCGGCGCACGGGUGAGUAACGCGUAUCCAACCUGCCCAUCACUUGGGGAUAACCUUGCGAAAGUAAGACUAAUACCCAAUGAUAUCUCUAGAAGACAUCUGAAAGAGAUUAAAGAUUUAUCGGUGAUGGAUGGGGAUGCGUCUGAUUAGCUUGUUGGCGGGGUAACGGCCCACCAAGGCAACGAUCAGUAGGGGUUCUGAGAGGAGGGUCCCCCACAUUGGAACUGAGACACGGUCCAAACUCCUACGGGAGGCAGCAGUGAGGAAUAUUGGUCAAUGGGCGAGAGCCUGAACCAGCCAAGUAGCGUGCAGGAAGACGGCCCUAUGGGUUGUAAACUGCUUUUAUAAGGGAAUAAAGUGAGAGUCGUGACUCUUUUUGUAUGUACCUUAUGAAUAAGGACCGGCUAAUUCCGUG
rnacentral:rRNA from 1 species